rnacentral:rRNA from 1 species
GAGUCGGGUUCGGAUUCGGAUUCGGAUUCGGCCGAUCCACGCGAGGGUUCAGAGAGGGGGAGGGCCGGGUCGCUGUCGCUGCGGCCGGCCCCGCACGCCCCGGCGCGCGGGGCGGGCCCGAGGUAGGUAGCGGAUCGACGUGGAUGUCGAUGUCGAUAUCUCUCUCCUCUCCGCUCCUCUGCUCUCUGGGCCGAUGCGUACGUGCGGUGGCGCGAGGUAACCGGCGGGGCAACGGUAGUGGCGCGGGUAGCGGGGUAGGAGGCUAAUUUGAUGAGGUAGCGAUCAUUCGUCUUAGCUAGCUAGUGUCGUUCGAGCGUGUGGGCGCUAGGUAGGAGGUAAUCGAGGAGGAGAAGAGGAACGAGGAGGUCUAGUCCACGUACUGUCGUGGCGCGCGAGUCCACCGGUGGCCGCUCUGGAUCGAUCCAUCCCUCCCUCCGACCCUCCCUCCCUCGCUACCUCGUCCCCCUCCUCCUGCCCCUGACCUACUACCUCGGCCGCCGCCCCUUCUUCCCGCCCCGCUACUAGCUGUCCUUCUUCGCGAAGUCGCUCCUCGUCUAGUUCAGCGAGCUCAGGUACAAGCGGUGUGUCUGGUUCGACCUCGGGGCGGUCUUCGACGUCGACCGGGCCCUCGAGCCGGACGUCGGCGCGGUCCAGCGGUAGACCAAGGUCUUGUUCGCGCGCGCGACCUUCAGGUUCGUCGAGCUCGCGGUCAUGCGGCGCGAGGCGCUGCUGAUGCUGCGCGACGAGAGGUCGAUGCUGGUCGAGUUCUUCCUGUUCGUUCGCGAGGAGUUGGUCGACCUCUUCGAUCGCCUCUACGACGCCCUCGGCCCGCCCCGGUUCACGCCUCUAUUACGGCCGCGACGGCGGUCCCUGCUGCACGCGAACCGGCACCGGCCGUACUCGUACUUCCUGCUCAAGCACCUGCGGCCGCCCCGGUCGUUCGAGAUGAGCCGCAGGCUCCCGACGCCGCCGUCGCCGUUCGAGAGCGAGAAGCCGCUCCUGCUGCUGCUGCGCCCGGAGAAGGAGGCCGGGAGCGACGUCGACGGUUGGCGCGUGCUGCCGCCGAAGUGCCGCAGACCCGGCCGGCUCAUGGUCGUCGUCAGCGGCAGCAGCAAGGGCAAGGUGAGCUCGACCGGCAGCAGGCGCCGCCUCGUCUGGACGUCGUCGAGGGUUACCACCCUCAAGCUCAGGGGCUCGCUCAUCACCAGCCAGUUCGUGGUAUGUUCCUUAGCGGCUGCACUAGCCGGUACGUUGUUCUAGUCACGAGCGUUGUGUAUGUCUCGUGAUGACGGCUAGCUUGGGCACCUCUUCUGCUGCGCUAGCUAGCUAGUAUACGUUGGCUACCACCAUCACCAUGCCACAGUCACACAUGUAUCGAGCUUUGGGUCCAGACAGGUCAGGUCAGGUCCCUCAGAGAAGGAAGAGUUAGUCGUCAGUCGUGCGGUAAAAAGAAGUGGGAGAAGGAGAAGAAAUUAAUGAACGAGAACAAUUAAUGGACGGUGUGGCACAUUAGGCAGCUUUGAUCAGUGUUUUGGUUUGAAUAUCUCUAGCUAGAAGUCUACGUCCACGUUGAUCGAUCCGUUUGUACGUACCGACAAGUAGUACACCGGUGAAUUAUUCGAAAGAGAGAAGAGAACGACACUAGUUAACCAAGGAACCUUGCGUUGUGUCACUAACGCUCUAGUACCGACUGACCUUAUCGAUCGAUCUAACUCUUCUUCGUACACCCCUUUCGAUCUCUCCAGGUCCGACGAUCUAGUUCUAAGAAAGUGCUCUUCUCUUCCCCUUAGCUUGUUGUGUGAGUAGUGAUCGAUCACUGAGCAUGUCGUGACGCCAUGCCCUAUCAUGUCCGGUCCGGUCCCACCGUGUCUAGUGUCUUGCACGUAGGCCGGUAACAAUUAAAGUUCGUUUACGUACCGUUCUCUGCGCGGCAGAUCCAGUCGGACUUUUAUAUCUCAUAGUUUUCCCUCCAGCUAGACACCGCAUCACAUCGGACCAAAAUAGGGUCGAUCAGUACGGAAAAAAAACCUAAAACUACUGGUCGCUUGCAAGCGACCCUCUCGUACCGUUUCGCUUGUAGAAAAUACCGUUUAUUACAACAACACUCCUACUGUUUAAAGAAAUCGUUCG